AAGGAAUGAUGAGGGUAGAUUCUAAUGAUCUCCUUGAAUCUCUCCCAACUCUCAUAAAUAGAUUGUCCUUCUAAUUGAGUAAAAGAAGUAAUAUCAUUUUUAAGUUU